CCUCCUCCAUCAAUCGUUUUGUCUCCAAAGGUCCAAUCACCAAGUCAAGAUUCGAUCAGUAAUCCUUAAAAGAAUCUACUUUCCUCCUGGAAAUCUAUAUUUACAAACAUGAGGUAAUAACAAUACUUGGCUUGUAACUGUUUUUGUGUAAUAGAUGAUUGUUAUAUUCUUAAUGUCUUUGUUUCUCCGAGUAUUUGAUUUCUUUUGUUUGUGUAGUAUCCUUGUUUUAAUUUUGUCACUCUGUUUCUUUUGCCUGUUUUAAUUUUGUCACUCUAAUUCUUUUGCUUUGCACUGGUUUUUGCGUGUUUCUUCGAUCUCUCUGUUGUUUUUUUUGUUGCCUUAAAAGUUUGGAUUUUUUUUAAUAUGUAAAAUCUAUUUCUCUCUCUGGGGAUUUUUUUUCUUCAAUCUCUAUGCUGUUUCUUUUUUUUAUCUACUGGAAGAAAGUUAUCAGGUCUUGGACUCUCCUGGAUCACUAGGAUACUCGCUUGAUAAAUUGACUUCUGUUACUGAGUUUGACUUAAGCAACAAGAACCUUGGAGGGGACUUGUCGUAUCAGCUUCCUCCAAAUGUUGAGAUUGAAUCUUGCUAAUAACCAGUUCACUGGAUCUGCUCCAUACUCCAUUUCUCAAAUGACACCCCCCCCCAAAUACCUUUAGAAAUACGGGACAAGAACAAGACAAUUUACAGCCAUAUAAACAAGAUGUCAUAAACAGAGCAAUUAUCAGUUGGCCUAGAAGCAAAAAUUUUAUGGAAUUAAGAAAAAGAGCAAUCACCGGUGGCCCAUACGGGACAA